rnacentral:misc_RNA from 1 species
ACACCAGAAACGCCGCUAAUGACUGAAAAAUCACACAGCGACGGAACCGAAGUUCUUAAAGGAAGGCACGAGGAUUGACUUGAUAAUGACAAGCCUGUCAGACGUAUUUAAACAUCCAGAUGGCGGUACCGUUUCCUGCAUUACUGUUUUGACCACUGAAAAAAAUGCAGAAACUCAUGAGGUCACAAUGGUGGUGUCCUACAAGCUCGGGAACGACUGGGAGGAAUUCGGCCACACAUAUGAAUUCAAGCAACCUCAGUCUGGGGCACAUUACGUCACAAUGAAUAAUACCCAACUGAAUGGUGCACCAUCCGGUACUUAUACUUUCACUUACGUGAUGGGAAACUGUGCAGUUGUUACGGUUGAAAAAUUCGGCGCACGUAUGAAUGCUUCAAGCGAAUACGUGCCCAGGCGGGAGAAAAAAUAGGGCGAAGCCGGCUGGGAAAUGGAGGACAAGGGCACGUGAGAGCAUCUGUAUCUCACUAGUGCAAUUUAUCCUAUCAAUGGGAAGCAUAUGGAGGUUCCAUGCCCAGCAAAGAACACAAGCCUUCCUGCCCAUUUUAUCCAAUGCAUAUCAUGCACAAGUGGAACGAAGGGUGGUCGUCAAUUGAAUGUUUAUUAACUGCGUGUUAACUAACGAUAGUGUUUACAAUCACUAUCCUAACGAAUAUACUAUCGAUGACCAAUGGCGACACUUCUCGUUACGCCAGCCUUGUAAACGGGUCCCUACUAGCAGACAAGGGCCGGUUCAAUGCAUACUGCAGCAGUACCACUGCGUGCUGCGUCACGGCAACAUCUCGCAACGGAGAACAGAAAGAACGUCGGCCACGGAAUUGAACAUUUAUGUAAAGCCUUCCUAUGGUAUUUAACGCUUCGUAUAUCGGGUGUAGCUGCCCAGUUGUUUGAUACAAAUGCCUAAUUUGGAUACGGCUGUUGUCUUUUACGUAUUCGAUCAAGUCAUAUAUGCUGGGCAACUUGAUCGCGGGAGCUAUGAAACGCUUGCAUUGCAAUGUGCUAGUUUUGCUGCUUGCGCGAUUCACUGGACAUAUAAUACAUUGGCAGCCAUAAACACAGGUGUUUCAGUCAGGUUAGUUGAAGAAUCGUAAAUUAUGAGUUGACACCAUGCGUCAAGGAGCAACGCUCUUGACAACAUCAUUCUGCUGUGGAGCUUACCGCAGCCGUUAUGACGGUCCGAAAAAGCUUCAAUGCAUACAAAGAAAUGGCCAUUGUAAGAUCCAUCGGCAGCAGAAUAACAGCGUUCAAAAAUCGGUGAAAUUUUAUAAGUGUGGGGACACGAACAUGACAUAAACACAAUGUCUUUGGUCAAAGAGGUUAACAGUGAUGUAUUCCUUUACAAAGCAAACUGAGUCAGUUACGAAGAAGUCAAGCUUUCAGUAUAUUUGACGCUAAUUGAGCAAAUGCUCCAGCUGCUACAGCUUCAACGCGAACAGCGUCACAUGCUUUAAAAAGUUCGUAAACGGCUGGUAACCUCACAUAUAGGGCUCCGUGUUUUAGGAGUUUAUUUUUCUUGAAAUUUGGAGGGGGUUUUUUGAAGUUUUUUUUUUCUGGGAAUGCGGUGUUCAUCGGAGUUUAUUUUUUGUGAAUAGCCAAUUCUCCGGAUCUAGGAGAUUAAUUCAGGAAUUAGGAGUUGAAUUUUGCACUACUGAAUCUUAGAUGAAAUAAUACCUGAACACGUAAACACCAGAGCACACGAAGCGUACUUUUAGUCGUCUGGGGCGUUUUAACGCACAAGCACAUACACGUGCAAGCACCAAUACUUGUAUACAAAACACCUACGUUUUUGUGUAUUACAACUUUAAAGCUUGUAAUAGACGAAAGCACACUUAACGAGAUCCGUGUAUUCGAUGUCGUCUCGCGCUCCCGUGGGCCCUACAUAAGUUGACGUCUCUCGCUCCGUGCGUGACAGACUCAUUGUUAAAUGUUCGAUGGGUGCGGUCUACGAUAUACUGUUGACGUGAGGUUAAGUUUAUAUUGGCCAAACCGGCUGAUGUGUCAAUGACCGCUUAGAACAUGCCAUUUCGAUAAAGAAUGGAACAGGGUCAUACUCGUAUCGGCCGUAUCGAAUACUGGUAUCGGAUAAAUCCGAAUUGUCAAAAAUUUUACUGGCGAGUCUUUAUCGGACUUUUUCGCAUUUAUCCGAAAACACGGAGCCCUACACAUAUAUUUUCCCGCUUCGAGCGUAUUUUGCUUCCUUCUCGUCAUCUCGUUACUAGCCAACGGCUAGUCAAACUAGUAAAUGUUUUCUAGAUCAUAUCGGAAGAACAAUUUUG